rnacentral:rRNA from 1 species
UAAACCUGGUUGAUCCUGCCAGUAGUCAUAUGCUUGUCUCAAAGAUUAAGCCAUGCAUGUCUAAGUAUAAGCAACUUGUACUGUGAAACUGCGAAUGGCUCAUUAAAUCAGUUAUCGUUUAUUUGAUAGUACCUUACUACAUGGAUACCUGUGGUAAUUCUAGAGCUAAUACAUGCUAAAAACCCCGACUUCAG